GGACGAACCUCUGGAGAGACCCCCCUUUUAAGCAUCGGCGAGGGGCACGGGCACCGAAGGAGCAAAUUCGCGCGGCGUACGCGAAUGAAUCUCUCAGGUAAAAGGACAGAGCGGACGAC
rnacentral:ncRNA from 2 species